GACGAACGCUGGCGGCGUGCUUAACACAUGCAAGUCGAACGGAAAGGCCCUGCUUUUGUGGGGUGCUCGAGUGGCGAACGGGUGAGUAACACGUGAGUAACCUGCCCUUGACUUUGGGAUAACUUCAGGAAACUGGGGCUAAUACCGGAUAGGAGCUCCUGCUGCAUGGUGGGGGUUGGAAAGUUUCGGCGGUUGGGGAUGGACUCGCGGCUUAUCAGCUUGUUGGUGGGGUAGUGGCUUACCAAGGCUUUGACGGGUAGCCGGCCUGAGAGGGUGACCGGCCACAUUGGGACUGAGAUACGGCCCAGACUCCUACGGGAGGCAGCAGAGGGGAAUAUUGCACAAUGGGCGGAAGCCUGAUGCAGCAACGCCGCGUGCGGGAUGUCGGCCUUCGGGUUGUAAACCGCUUUCGCCUGUGACGAAGCGUGAGUGACGGUAAUGGGUAAAGAAGCACCGGCUAACUACGUG
rnacentral:rRNA from 1 species